rnacentral:tRNA from 1 species
UAUAUUUCAGUAUUAGAUGUACCUAAAUUUUUGAAGUUUAAAGAAUCAGUUAAAUCCUGAUAAAUAUAG